UACAGAGGUCCCGAGCGUUGUUCGGAUUCACUGGGCGUAAAGGGUGCGUAGGUGGCAUAGAAAGUUUGAUGUGAAAGCUCAGGGCUUAACCCUGAAAUGGCAUUGAAUACUGCUGUGCUGGAGGUUUGGAGGGGGGACUGGAACUCUUGGUGUAGCAGUGAAAUGCGUAGAUAUCAAGAGGAACACCAGUGGCGAAGGCGAGUCCCUGGACAACACCUGACACUGAGGCACGAAAGCUAGGGGAGCAAACAGG
rnacentral:rRNA from 1 species